GGGCGAGAACCAGGGCAGGCAGGCAGCAAACACAGAGCAGGGGUCCACUCUGAGGCGGGCACCCUGCUGGGUGCUAAGGCAAACAUGGAGACAAGAGCCCCGUCCUCACAAAGCUGACAACCAAGUCACAGAGUCGGAAAAUUACAGAUUGGGGAAAACCCUAGAAGAAAAUAAACAGAAGAUAUGAAAACCAAGACUCAGAGAGGUUAACUACCUUGCCCAAAGUCAC